rnacentral:rRNA from 1 species
UACGGAGGGUGCAAGCGUUAUCCGGAUUCACUGGGGUUAAAGGGUGCGUAGGCGGGCAUGUAAGUCAGUUGUGAAAUCUCCGGGCUUAACCCGGAAACUGCCGUUGAUACUAUGUGUCUUGAAUAUCGUUGAGGUUUGCGGAAUAUGUCAUGUAGCGGUGAAAUGCUUAGAUAUGACAUAGAACACCAAUUGCGAAGGCAGCGGGCUAAACGAACAUUGACGCUGAGGCACGAAAGCGUGGGGAUCAAACAGG